rnacentral:lncRNA from 1 species
GAAAAGUUCUCGUCAAUUACUACAGCAUAGAAGGCAGAUGUUGGGCAUCCUCCAGGUGUCAGUAAGAAGUCCCCAGGUCCAGCUGUUAACCAGUAUCUUAGAGUUCCUUUCUUGCACUGUGAUGCUGCAGCAAGCUGAAUGAGGAUGCUUCUCAGAGUUGAUCGAGGAUAAGGAGAUUUGAUCUUAGCUUUUGCUGCUGAUCUGAGGAUACGAUCCAGGUGGACA